GCUGGGCAUGGUGGCACAUGCCUGUAGUCCCAGCUACUCAGGAGGCUGAAGCAAAUGGUUUGCUUUAG
rnacentral:sRNA from 1 species